UUAUGGCCAUAUCACAUUGAAACACCGGUUCUUAUACGAUCACCAAAGUUAAGCAACAUUGAGCCUGGUUAGAUGGGUGACCACUUGGGAAUAUCAGUUACUGUAAG